UACGGAAGGCAGCAGUGGGGAAUAUUGCACAAUGGGCGCAAGCCUGAUGCAGCCAUGCCGCGUGUAUGAAAAAGGCCUUCGGGUUGUAAAGUACUUUCAGUCGUGAGGAAGGUGUUAAGGUUAAUAACCUUAGCAAUUGACGUUAGCGACAGAAGAAGCACCGGCUAACUCCGUGCCAGCAGCCGCGGUAAUACGGAGGGUGCGAGCGUUAAUCGGAAUUACUGGGCGUAAAGGGCACGCAGGCGGUUAAUUAAGUUGGAUGUGAAUCCCCGGGCUUAACCUGGGAAUGGCAUUCAAGACUGGUUAGCUAGAGUCUUGUAGAGGGGGUUAGAAUUCCAUGUGUAGCGGUGAAAUGCGUAGAGAUGUGGAGGAAUACCGGUGGCGAAGGCGGCCCCUGGACAAAGACUGACGCUCAUGUGCGAAAGCGUGGGGAGCAAACGAGGGAUUAGAUACCCGU
rnacentral:rRNA from 1 species